CCUACGGGAGGCUGCAGUGAGGAAUAUUGGUCAAUGGGCGGGAGCCUGAACCAGCCAAGUCGCGUGAAGGAAGAAGGUACUUAGUAUUGUAAACUUCUUUUGUCGGGGAACAAAGGCGGAGACGCGUCUCCGGAUGAGUGUACCCGAAGAAAAAGCCUCGGCGAACUCCGUGCCAGCAGCCGCGGUAAUACGGGGGAUGCGAGCGUUAUCCGGAUUUAUUGGGUGUAAAGGGUGCGCAGGCGGGAGAUCAAGUCAGCGGUAAAAUGGCGGGGCUCAACCCCGGCCGGACGUUGAAACCGGGUUUAUAGAGUGGGAGAGAAGUAUGCGGAAUUCGUGGUGGAGCGGUGAAAUGGAGAG
rnacentral:rRNA from 1 species